rnacentral:rRNA from 1 species
GAUGAACGCUGACAGAAUGCUUAACACAUGCAAGUCAUUGGCGAAGCUGCGCUUGCGCAGUCUAGCCAAGGCGGACGGGUGAGUAACGCGUAAGGAACUUGCCCUGCAGACAGGGAUAACAGGCGGAAACGACUGAUAACACCUGGUAUUGUCAGGCUGGCGCAUGCCGGCCUGAUGAAAGGAGACGCUGCAGGAGAGCCUUGCGUCCUAUUAGCUAGUUGGUGGGGUAACGGCCCACCAAGGCGAUGAUAGGUAGCCGGCCUGAGAGGGUGAACGGCCACAAGGGGACUGAGAUACGGCCCUUACUCCUACGGGAGGCGGCAGUGGGGAAUAUUGGACAAUGGGGGCAACCCUGAUCCAGCAAUUCUGUGUGCACGAAGAAGGUUUUCGGAUUGUAAAGUGCUUUCAGCAGGGAAGAAGAAAGUGACGGUACCUGCAGAAGAAGCGACGGCUAAAUACGUG